CCUACGGGAGGCAGCAGUAAGGAAUAUUGGUCAAUGGGCGCAAGCCUGAACCAGCCAUGCCGCGUGCAGGAAGACGGCCCUAUGGGUUGUAAACUGCUUUUGAACAAGAGAAAACCUCGGUACGUGUACCGAGCUGAUAGUAUUGUUAGAAUAAGCAUCGGCUAACUUCGUGCCAGCAGCCGCGGUAAGACGAAGGAUGCAAGCGUUAUCCGGAUUCAUUGGGUUUAAAGGGUGCGUAGGCGGCCUGAUAAGUCAGUGGUGAAAUCUCUCAGCUUAACUGAGAAACUGCCAUUGAUACUGUCGGGCUUGAGUACAGAUGAUGUGGGCGGAAUAUGACAUGUAGUGGUGAAAUACUUAGAUAUGUCAUAGAACACCGAUUGCGAAGGCAGCUCACAAAACUGUAACUGACGCUGAGGCACGAAAGUGCGGGGAUCAAACAGGAUUAGAUACCCUGGUAGUCCGCACCGUAAACGAUGAUUACUCGUUGUUGGCAAUAUGACCGUCAGCGACCAAGCGAAAGCGAUAAGAAUCCACCUGGGGAGUACGCCGGCAACGGUGAAACUCGAAAGGAAUUGACGGCUUGAGGACGNGCGAGGACGACACGAGGGAGGAGG
rnacentral:rRNA from 1 species